AGCCAAUUAUAGCCCAACUACCUUCUCAAACCAACUUUUAACCAAAACAAACCAUUUGCUAAAAGAAGUAUAGGCGAUAGA
rnacentral:rRNA from 1 species